GUUCCUGUAGUGUAGUCCGGUCAAGCAUUCUGGCCUUUCACGCCUGAGUCUCGGGUUCAAAUCCCGACAGGAGCA
rnacentral:tRNA from 1 species